UACAGAGGUCUCAAGCGUUAAUCGGAAUUACUGGGCGUAAAGCGUGCGCAGGCGGUUAUAUAAGACAGUUGUGAAAUCCCCGGGCUCAACCUGGGAACUGCAUCUGUGACUGUAUAGCUAGAGUACGGUAGAGGGGGAUGGAAUUCCGCGUGUAGCAGUGAAAUGCGUAGAUAUGCGGAGGAACACCGAUGGCGAAGGCAAUCCCCUGGACCUGUACUGACGCUCAUGCACGAAAGCGUGGGGAGCAAACAGG
rnacentral:rRNA from 1 species